rnacentral:rRNA from 1 species
AACGAACGCUGGCGGCAUGCCUAACACAUGCAAGUCGAACGAGACCUUCGGGUCUAGUGGCGCACGGGUGCGUAACGCGUGGGAACCUGCCCUUAGGUUCGGAAUAACUCCCCGAAAGGGGUGCUAAUACCGGAUAAUGUCUUCGGACCAAAGAUUUAUCGCCUUUGGAUGGGCCCGCGUUGGAUUAGCUAGUUGGUAGGGUAAAAGCCUACCAAGGCGACGAUCCAUAGCUGGUCUGAGAGGAUGAUCAGCCACACUGGGACUGAGACACGGCCCAGACUCCUACGGGAGGCAGCAGUGGGGAAUAUUGGACAAUGGGCGAAAGCCUGAUCCAGCAAUGCCGCGUGAGUGAUGAAGGCCUUAGGGUUGUAAAGCUCUUUUACCCGGGAUGAUAAUGACAGGACCGGGAGAAUAAGCUCCGGCUAACGCCG